UAUCGUCUUCCACUAGCUACAGUGCCCGGAUGGAACAAGCAGCUCGCUCCACGCCCCCCUAUCGCUAUUGGAUGGGGAGAUGUAUACGCAGCCUCUUUCCACUGCUUCGCUGCCAGGCCAACGGAACAGCGGGGUAAUACGAGGAGGGCGGGUAACUGAAGAUGGCUUCGACAAAAGAGGAGAGAAUUGAGUUUAUUUUGUUGUCUGGAGAACGAAGUUUCCGUGUCAUAGCUGCAGAUUUUAACAACCGGCACCCAGAAAGACCUCCAAUUUCACAUGACACUGUCAGGUGCCUAAUUUCCAAAUUCCGAGAAACUGGGACUGUGGCUUACAAGUCAAAGAGUGGUCGUCCAAAAUGUGCUACUGAUUAGAUAACCUCAAAAAUGGUUUGGUAUCCUUCGUUUAAAACCAACAAUGCCCACACAUUACAUGACUGUCCUUUAUGGAGAAGAGUUCAACCUGUAAUUCCAACAAAAGAAGUGUUGUAACUUUUGAACCAUAACUGCUAUUUCAAAUCUGCAAUAAACUUUUCAGCAAAUUCUGAUGUUUGACGUUUUACAUGACCCCCAUUCCAUUUGAAAAAACGGACUUAGAUUCAAGAUGGGCGAUUUGAAGAUGGCACCCAUGUUCGGUACAUACCAUAAAAGAUAGCCCACUUCACCCAUACCUCACUGGAGUAUUAAGUUUACCCAUUUCCUGCACAGUGAUUGAAACAAAAAGGUGUACUGUAACUUUUGAAUCACCCUGUAGUGUUAAUCAUUUGGAGAAAUUAUGAUAUGUGUUUAGAGCAUUUAAUCCACAGCAGGUUAAUCUGCAAUAAAUCCUAAAAAUCA